rnacentral:misc_RNA from 1 species
CGCAACUUGCGCUUUCUAGUAUUCUGGAGAGCAUGCCUGUUUGAGUAUCAUGAAAUAUCUACCUGCCUGGGUUUUUCCAGUCAACGUAGGAUCUGGGCUCUUGCCGUUACACAUUGUAAUUUGGCUAGCCUUAAAUGCAUGGGCAAUCAAGAUGUAAUACGUUUCAUCUGGAUUGUGUUUCACCAAUUAUUAUUUACCAUCUUGAUCUCAAAUCAGGUAGGACUACCCGCUGAACUUAA